rnacentral:rRNA from 1 species
GACGAACGCUGGCGGCGUGCCUAAUACAUGCAAGUCGAACGCAGUGGGGCCGGGUGAGUAACACGUUGGUAACCUCCCAUCAGAGGGGAUAACACUUGGAAACAGGUGCUAAACCGAUACUGAUGGAUGGACCCGCGGUGCAUUAGCUAGUUGGGGGGGUAACGGCUCACCAAGGCCACGAUGCAUAGCCGGCCUGAGAGGGGGAUCGGCCACACUGGAACGGAGACACGGCCCAGACUCCAACGGGAGGCAGCAGUAGGGAAUAUGGGGAAAUGGACGAAAGGCUGACCGAGCAAUGCCGCGUGAGUGAAGAAGGUUUUCGGAUCGUAAAACACUGUGGUUAGAGAAGCGGUAUCUAACCAGAAAGCCACGGCUAACUACGUGCCAGCAGCCGCGGUAAUAC